rnacentral:rRNA from 1 species
GAUGAACGCUGGCGGCGUGCCUAAUACAUGCAAGUCGAGCGAACAGAUGAGGAGCUUGCUCCUCUGACGUUAGCGGCGGACGGGUGAGUAACACGUGGAUAACCUACCUAUAAGACUGGGAUAACUUCGGGAAACCGGAGCUAAUACCGGAUAAUAUAUUGAACCGCAUGGUUCAAUAGUGAAAGACGGUUUUGCUGUCACUUAUAGAUGGAUCCGCGCCGCAUUAGCUAGUUGGUAAGGUAACGGCUUACCAAGGCAACGAUGCGUAGCCGACCUGAGAGGGUGAUCGGCCACACUGGAACUGAGACACGGUCCAGACUCCUACGGGAGGCAGCAGUAGGGAAUCUUCCGCAAAGGGCGAAAGCCUGACGGAGCAACGCCGCGUGAGUGAUGAAGGUCUUCGGAUCGUAAAACUCUGUUAUUAGGGAAGAACAAAUGUGUAAGUAACUAUGCACGUCUUGACGGUACCCAAUCAGAAAGCCACGGCUAACUACGUG